GCCGGCCGCCGGUACUCAACGCGGAUUUACUCCAACCUGGUGGCACAGAAACUCUGCAACCAUGUGCGAUUCUUUCACGCUUCUCCCGCAUCUUUGGCCGCAGCACACAAGGUUGCCAUCAGCAAGUUCGAGCCCGACAACUACCUUCCCUAUGACAAGCUUCAGCAAAACCUGCAGGUUGUCAGAAAGAGGU